CAAGCGGCAGGGUUUACAGGGCGUGAUUGCGCAUGAGCGACCUUGCUGAAUGUCCAAGAUUAAAGCUCCGGUGGUAUAAUGAAGACUGCGACAUUAGUUCCUUGCAGAGAUGGUUUUGAAGUGUUUGUGCCUGUUCUCUCUUCCACCCUCCGUUCUCGCUUCUAAAAGUAGGGUAAUAAUUGAGGGUUAUUCACCUUUAAGAAAUCCUAGUGGUGAGGGAUUCUUUAAUGUUUUUUAAAAUAAAUGAGCAAUAUUACUGUAAUGAUCAUUUAUUGACCUCUAAAUUUUUAGACCCCUGGCGGACAGGUCACAUAUAGUUCCUCAUUUAACUUUUACAACUUUUUGAAGUAGGUGGUGUUAUCCCAGUUUUGUAAGGGAGGAAAUCGACCGAAAGAGGGGUUAAGUAUUACAAUUGUGACAUUGUCCCAAAGGAAAGAACCAAUUCCCCAGAUUUAUCUGACGCCAAAUGAAUGAAAAAUUAAUUUUCCAGAGGAAAAUCUGGUGCUUGGCUACUUUAAAGAUCACUAUAUUUAUCUGAAACAAAUUACUCUUAGAGUAGUCAUCGCUUUUCUUUUUUUUUAUCAGAAAGCUCUCUUUCCUUAAAUGUAAGUAGUGCAAAGGAUUAAGCUAAUGGCAACACCCAGAAGUCGCCAUUGUUAAUCUUAGGCACUGCCUCUAGCAAUUGAUUUAGAAAUCAGAAUGCAACUUACUCGAUUGAAGAUAAAAUGAGGACAAGAACUUAAGAAUUAGUGUGUUUGAAUGGUGACUAAACUUUGAAAGACUGCCUCGCUACGAUCAAAAUAGAAGUUAUUUGGUUGAAAAAUGUUACUGAUUUUGGAAGGAACAGACUUAAAGAGAGGAGUAUGGAGAAAUUCUCCCAUCCUUAAACGUUUUGAUAAUAACAAAUUUUAAAAA